rnacentral:piRNA from 1 species
CUUGAAGGAGAACAGCGGCAG